rnacentral:rRNA from 1 species
UAGGGAAUAUUGGGCAAUGGGCGAGAGCCUGACCCAGCCAUGCCGCGUGCAGGAAGAAGGCUUUCUGAGUCGUAAACUGCUUUUGACAGGGAAGAAUAAGGACUACGUGUAGUCUGAUGACGGUACCUGCAGAAUAAGCACCGGCUAACUCCGUGCCAGCAGCCGCGGUAAUACGGAGGGUGCGAGCGUUGUCCGGAUUUAUUGGGUUUAAAGGGUGCGUAGGCGGUCCAUUAAGUCUGGGGUGAAAGCCCGCUGCUCAACAGCGGAACUGCCCUGGAUACUGGCGGACUUGAGUACAGACGAGGUUGGCGGAAUGGACUGAGUAGCGGUGAAAUGCAUAGAUACAGUCCAGAACCCCGAUUGCGAAGGCAGCUGACUAGGCUGUUACUGACGCUGAGGCACGAAAGCGUGGGGAGCGAACAG